rnacentral:rRNA from 1 species
UACGGGGGAGCAAGCGUUGUUCGGAUUUACUGGGCGUAAAGGGCGCGUAGGCGGUCAGCACAAGUCAGUUGUGAAAUCUCCGGGCUUAACUCGGAAAGGUCAACUGAUACUGUGCGACUAGAGUGCAGAAGGGGCAACUGGAAUUCUCGGUGUAGCGGUGAAAUGCGUAGAUAUCGAGAGGAACACCUGCGGCGAAGGCGGGUUGCUGGGCCGACACGUGACGCUGAUGCGCGAAAGCCAGGGAGCGAACGGG